rnacentral:rRNA from 1 species
GGUUAAGCGACUAAGCGUACACGGUGGAUGCCCUGGCAGUCAGAGGCGAUGAAGGACGUGCUAAUCUGCGAUAAGCGCCGGUAAGGUGAUAUGAACCGUUAUAACCGGCGAUUUCCGAAUGGGGAAACCCAGUGUGAUUUGUCACACUAUCAUUACGUGAAUACAUAGCGUAAUGAAGCGAACCGGGGGAACUGAAACAUCUAAGUACCCCGAGGAAAAGAAAUCAACCGAGAUUCCCCCAGUAGCGGCGAGCGAACGGGGAGGAGCCCAGAGCCUGAAUCAGCAUGUGUGUUAGUGGAAGCGUCUGGAAAGGCGCGCGAUACAGGGUGACAGCCCCGUACACAAAAGCGCAUGUGUUGUGAGCUCGAUGAGUAGGGCGGGACACGUGGUAUCCUGUCUGAAUAUGGGGGGACCAUCCUCCAAGGCUAAAUACUCCUGACUGACCGAUAGUGAACCAGUACCGUGAGGGAAAGGCGAAAAGAACCCCGGCGAGGGGAGUGAAAAAGAACCUGAAACCGUGUACGUACAAGCAGUGGGAGCCCCACCACUAAGCCAGUGGUGAACUCCACAUACGCAUCCUUUGCUGAGGAUACGGUUAACGGAGCGAAAGCGACGUUCAACCGCAAAAGAAGCAGAGGGGGCUUAGUGGUGGGGUGACUGCGUACCUUUUGUAUAAUGGGUCAGCGACUUAUAUUCUGUAGCAAGGUUAACCGAAUAGGGGAGCCG